GGGGGCGACUUGGCUUCGACGUGGGUAUCGAAACCUGAAGUGCAUGUCGAGGGUGUAAUUACCUCGUAAAUCCAAUUGCAAAUUUAUAGUUGCAAAUGAUGACAACUACGCUCUAGCUGCUUAAUAACCAGCCUAGUGCCCUUUGCCCGAUGUGUGCUUAUGCGCUCGGAUCACAAAGGUCGACCCACAUAAGAUCGUUUUGAAAUCUGUCCGGGGUGGAUAAACUAAAACUUUACGGAAUCGCCGUCCAUUUUCCCUGUCUGUCGGGUAGUGUGCGGUUAAACUUAAAGAUCGACUAAACAUGUAGAGCUGAAGGCAGAGGACUUGCGGACGCGGGUUCGAUUCCCGCCGCCUCCACCA
rnacentral:tmRNA from 1 species